CGUGUAGGCGGUCGGGCAAGUCGGGUGUGAAAGCCCAGGGCUCAACCCUGGAAGUGCAUUCGAUACUGCCUGGCUAGAGUCCCGGAGAGGAUGGUGGAACUCUCGGUGUAGAGGUGAAAUUCGUAGAUAUCGAGAAGAACACCGGUGGCGAAGGCGGCCAUCUGGACGGUGACUGACGCUGAGACGCGAAAGCGUGGGAGCAAACA
rnacentral:rRNA from 1 species